GACGAACGCUUGCGGCGUGCUUAACACAUGCAAGUCGAACGGAAAGGCCCUGCUUUUGUGGGGUGCUCGAGUGGCGAACGGGUGAGUAACACGUGAGUAACCUGCCCUUGACUUUGGGAUAACUUCAGGAAACUGGGGCUAAUACCGGAUAGGAGCUCCUGCUGCAUGGUGGGGGUUGGAAAGUUUCGGCGGUUGGGGAUGGACUCGCGGCUUAUCAGCUUGUUGGUGGGGUAGUGGCUUACCAAGGCUUUGACGGGUAGCCGGCCUGAGAGGGUGACCGGCCACAUUGGGACUGAGAUACGGCCCAGACUCCUACGGGAGGCAGCAGUGGGGAAUAUUGCACAAUGGGCGGAAGCCUGAUGCAGCAACGCCGCGUGCGGGAUGACGGCCUUCGGGUUGUAAACCGCUUUCGCCUGUGACGAAGCGUGAGUGACGGUAAUGGGUAAAGAAGCACCGGCUAACUACGUGCCAGCAGCCGCGGUGAUACGUAGGGUGCGAGCGUUGUCCGGAUUUAUUGGGCGUAAAGGGCUCGUAGGUGGUUGAUCGCGUCGGAAGUGUAAUCUUGGGGCUUAACCCUGAGCGUGCUUUCGAUACGGGUUGACUUGAGGAAGGUAGGAGAGAAUGGAAUUCCUGGUGGAGCGGUGGAAUGCGCAGAUAUCAGGAGGAACACCAGUGGCGAAGGCGGUUCUCUGGGCCUUUCCUGACGCUGAGGAGCGAAAGCGUGGGGAGCGAACAGGCUUAGAUACCCUGGUAGUCCACGCUGUAAACGGUGGGUACUAGGUGUGGGGUCCAUUCCACGGGUUCCGUGCCGUAGCUAACGCUUUAAGUACCCCGCCUGGGGAGUACGGCCGCAAGGCUAAAACUCAAAGGAAUUGACGGGGCCCCGCACAAGCGGCGGAGCAUGCGGAUUAAUUCGAUGCAACGCGUAGAACCUUACCUGGGUUUGACAUGGAUCGGGAGUGCUCAGAGAUGGGUGUGCCUCUUUUGGGGUCGGUUCACAGGUGGUGCAUGCCUGUCGUCAGCUCGUGUCGUGAGAUGUUGGGUUAAGUCCCGCAACGAGCGCAACCCCUGUUCACUGUUGCCAGCACGUUAUGGUGGGGACUCAGUGGAGACCGCCGGGGUCAACUCGGAGGAAGGUGGGGAUGACGUCAAGUCCUCAUGCCCCUUAUGUCCAGGGCUUCACGCAUGCUACAAUGGCUGGUACAGAGAGUGGCGAGCCUGUGAGGGUGAGCGAAUCUCGGAAAGCCGGUCUCAGUUCGGAUUGGGGUCUGCAACUCGACCUCAUGAAGUCGGAGUCGCUAGUAAUCGCAGAUCAGCAACGCUGCGGUGAAUACGUUCCCGGGGCU
rnacentral:rRNA from 1 species